rnacentral:rRNA from 1 species
CUAAUCCAAACGACUCUCGGUAAUGGAUAUCUCGGCUCUUGCAUCGAUGAAGAACGUAGCAAAAUGCGAUACUUGGUAUGAAUUGCAGAAUCCCGUCAACCAUCGAGUUUUUGAAUGCAAGUUGCGCCCGAAACCGUCAGGGCAAUGGCACGUCUGCCUAGGCGUCAGC